CAGAUAUAGUUCAUUGGUAGAACGCCAGCUUCCCAAGCUGGAGAGGCGGGUCCGAUUCCCGUUAUCUG
rnacentral:tRNA from 1 species